UUAUGGUGGGCACUCUAAGGAGACUGCCGGUGACAAACCGGAGGAAGUGGGGAUGACGUCAAGUCAUCAUGGCCCUUACGGCCUGGGCUACACACGUGCUACAAUGGUCGGUACAAAAGGGUUGCCAAGCCGCGAGGUGGAGCUAAAUCCCAUAAAACCGAUCGUAGUCCGGAUCGCAGUCUGCAACUCGACUGCGUGAAGUCGGAAUCGCUAGUAAUCGUGAAUCAGAAUGUCACGGUGAAUACGUUCCCGGGCCUU
rnacentral:rRNA from 1 species